UUGAAGGGUGGCUUUCCAUUUGAGGAGAGCUUCUGCUUCCUCAGUAUAAGCAAAAACAGUUUUGGGUAAAGAAACCAAUAGCAUGAACAUGGCAAGCAAAACAAGGGAGAGUGUAGAGUUCUCUGAGGUAAGCAGAGCAAGGAAAAAUCUGUGUUGUUCAUUACUGACCUGUAUGGGACAAUAAUGAUAAAGUAGCUACUGUACUUUGUCCAAAGAAAAGACUUGGAGCUUGACUCAACGAUAAGGAUGCUACCUUCAAAAACACCAUGUGCAUGUUAAUUAACUCGAAGUUAAAGAAAAGAAAGAGAGAAGGAUAGGGCGGCGGGGCAUAGAUGGAUUCUGCUGUUGCUUUCUAUAGACACAAUAGUGCUCCCUCCAAUUGCAUGUAUUAUUGAAAAUUACCUGUUGGGAAGAUAGAUUUAUUUACUUAUUUUUUUGGGGGGCCCUAUACAACAUUAUUGAUUCCCUGUAA